CGAGCACGCGCGUGUGGCAUAUCAAUAAGCGGAGGAAAAGAAACUAACAAGGAUUCCCUUAGUAACGGCGAGUGAAGCGGGAAGAGCUCAAAUUUGAAAUCUUCAAGGUUCUACCUUGACGAAUUGUAGUUUAUAGAAGUGUUUUCUGUCAGUGGAGUGGCAAAAGUUCUUUGGAAUAGGACAUCAUAGAGGGUGAGAAUCCCGUAUUUGGUCAUUCCUCCUAGCGUUGUGAUACACUUUCAACGAGUCGGAUUGUUUGGGAAUGCAGUCCAAAAUGGGUGGUAAAUUUCAUCUAAAGCUAAAUAUUGGCGAGAGACCGAUAGCGAACAAGUACCGUGAGGGAAAGAUGAAAAGAACUUUGAAAAGAGAGUUAAACAGUACGUGAAAUUGUCAAAAGGGAAGCGUUUGACACCAGUGUUGUUUUUCCGAAAAUCAAUUACGAAUGUUUUGUUUUUGAGAAGUUAUGACUUCAUCGGCUUGCUCCUUUCUUUAUGAAACUUUCUUAAUGCACUUUUCGGUUAACAAGUCAACAUCAAUUUCUUUUGUUGUAAAAGGGUAUGAGGAAGGUGGCUUUCUUUUCGGAGAAAGUGUUUAUAGCCUUGUGCCUCUACAAUCGGAGAGAUUGAGGUCUGCAGCGUAGAUCCUUCGGGGUUAGAUACGUUUGUGCUAAGUUAUAGCUUUUCAUAGACAACUUGUUGACUAUGUUUAGUCUUGUAGCUUACUCGCUGACGCUAUUUUACCUACGCUUAGGAUGUUGAUGUGAUACUGCGAGCA
rnacentral:rRNA from 1 species